GUGGGGAAUUUUGCGCAAUGGGCGAAAGCCUGACGCAGCGACGCCGCGUGGAGGAUGAAGGCCUUCGGGUUGUAAACUCCUUUUAUAGGGGAAGAAUAAUGACGGUACCCUAUGAAUAAGCCACGGCUAACUCUGUGCCAGCAGCCGCGGUAAGACAGAGGUGGCAAGCGUUGUUCGGAAUUACUGGGCUUAAAGGGCGCGUAGGCGGUGGGAUAAGUCCGUGGUGGAAUCCCGGGGCUCAACCCCGGAACGGCCGCGGAUACUGUUUCACUUGAGUCAGUGAGGGGAGGGCGGAAUUCCCGGUGUAGCAGUGAAAUGCGUAGAUAUCGGGAGGAAGGCCGGUGGCGAAGGCGGCCCUCUGGCGCUUGACUGACGCUGAGGCGCGAAAGCGUGGGUAGCAAACAGGAUUAGAAACCCUUGUAGUCC
rnacentral:rRNA from 1 species